GGCCACUUGGAGCGCUGCAAGUUUAGCAAUUUAUAGUCUCGUGUUCCUCUUGGAUGAUGUAGUCUUCCAUAAUGGUUUUGGUAUCGUAGGAACGUGAUCGUGAUUUUUCGUUUAAAUUGCAGUAACACGAGGCUGUAUCAUCACAUUACGUUCUGUGGACUCUUGUAUAUUUGUUCCUGCAAAGAAAUACAAUUUCCAUUGCUCAGUUUACUUAAAGGACACUUGAGGAUGGAGCAUACAAGAAGAGAAGAAUCCAGUUUGAGAUUGAAACUGAAAUAGUUGUGCAAGUUUCCCAGAUGCAGGAGUAGUUAUUAUGUAAAAACAAAUUCCAAACACAAGAAUAAAC